rnacentral:rRNA from 1 species
UACGAAGGGGGCUAGCGUUGUUCGGAAUUACUGGGCGUAAAGCGCACGUAGGCGGCCUUGUAAGUUGGGGGUGAAAUCCCGGGGCUCAACCUCGGAAUUGCCUUCAAGACUGCUUGGCUCGAGUUCGGGAGAGGUGAGUGGAAUUCCCAGUGUAGAGGUGAAAUUCGUAGAGAUUGGGAAGAACACCAGUGGCGAAGGCGGCUCACUGGCCCGUAACUGACGCUGAGGUGCGAAAGCGUGGGGAGCAAACAGG